CCGGCCUGCAUUCACUUUUUAAAACAAAAAUGGUUGAGCUCGUAGUUAAUAAAAUCUUGGAUUUUUGUCAGAUGAAUUGCUUUUAAGAAGGGUCUACCUUAUCAGAACCUGUGCAACUAAAUUACUGAAUCUAAGUGAAAUAUUAAAUAUUUAUUUCUAUCUUAUUUCCAAAUUGUUAGUUUCAGUCAAUUCAAUGAAUUUUUUCUCAUUCUGCUAAAGAGCUUUUAAUUAUUUCAAUAAGUAGUACAUAUAGAUGGUAAGCAAUGACAGUAGUACCAAAGGGUAAAAAAUGUCUUAAACCUACUAUUCUCCUCCCUGGUGGAAACCACCAUUCCCAGUUUCUUGUGUAUUUUUCCAGCAUUAUCCUCUGUGUAUGUAUAUGAUUGUGCAAAUAAUAUUUAAGAAAAUAUACAGAAAUGGCAGCACACUAUAUAUACUACUAUGCUAACUUUUUUCACUUAACACAGAGACCAGGAAAAGACUCUUAAAGGAGGCCUUUGAGCAGAUGAAUGAAUGACGACAGAGUCACCUGUGCAAGAUAUGAAGGAACGGUGAUAUUCCAUACAGAAGGCACAGCAAGUACAAAUGCCCUAAGAUGGGAAUGAGCUUGGCAUAUAUUAGGAACAGAAAGAAACCCAUGCUACUGGAGCUUACUGAAUGAGCAGGAAAGACAUAUAAGAAAAGUUGAAGACGUAGAUAGGAGUCAGAUUAUACUGGUAGAUAGGAGUCAGAUUAUACUGGGCUUUCGGGUAAUGAUGGGAAAAUCUGAUUUGUUUCUCUUCAAUAUUGGAAUUCUCUGGCGAUUUGGGAAUAGUUGUUGAAACAGUAAAAAAUAAAAUCAUCUAACAAUUUUACCUACAUACAUAUCAUGAGAUACCAUAAAAUGCUUGGCUGAAAUCAAGAUACUCAUUUUAAAAGCUGCGUAAUAAAUGAUUUCUUAAUAAAAGGAUUCAUUUUUACACUCUUAGCCAAAGGCCAGAAUUAUUGCAAACAGAGACAAACUUGUAACAGUGAGAUGGUCCUGAAAGAGGGCCUCCCUACACUUGUUUAAUAAUGAGACAGGGACUCAAGUAAGAAGUUAACCUGAAGCCUGAGAACGGGAUUCUAAUAGAGUGGAGAGAGGCCUGGUAUAGGAGUCAGAGACCUCAGUUUGACAUUACUAAAUUUCCUUUUGCCUGCCUCAGUUUUCCCACCUGUGAGGUAACACUUCCUGGCUAUGUAUCUCACAACAUUUUUCAGAAAAUCAAAUGAGGUAAUGCAUGUGAUGGUUAUUUGCAUACUGCAUAGUAUUAACAUGUGUACAGUAUUAUUAUUUUUGAAUAAAACUACAGGAAGAAUAUUGUGUGAGGGAGAAUGUAGAACUAUUAAAUAACACAUCAGUAAAUAUGUGUUGAAAGCUUCCUGUACUUCGUAUGUUCAGCCCUGUAAUAAUAAGCCAAUGUGAUAAAUAUUUAUUUAGUAUCUAUUAUUUUGAAGGCCUGGUGAUACAUACAGCAAGUGAUACAGCAGCAAGUAAGACAGCAGGAAACCAGAAUUCCCAGUGGUCACACUUUGGAGGUAUCUUCAUUGGACUGGAGAGGCACUAUGGAGGAGUUAAAGCAUACAGCAAAUGGAACUGAAUUGCCUGAGCUUGAAGCCUGGUUUCACUGCUCUCUAGCUGUAUAACUGGGCUAGUUACUUAGCCUGUUUGUAUCCCAGUUUCCACCGAGGCUGAAUUGAAUGAAUAUAGGUGAAUGGUGUGGAACAGUGUCCAGCACAUAGUGAGCACUUGUGACCUGCCGCUUCUCCAUCAACAGGUGGUGUCCCCUCACCUUGAAUCUGCGUGGGCUUUUCACACCUUUGUUCAAUACAGCAUGGUGGAAGUAACUCUAUGAGUUACAACACAACAUUCAGCUUCUAUCUGGUCUACCAGAACACAUGCAUUUGGAGCCCUGAGGCCACCAUGCUUGUGAGGAGGCUGAGCCACAUGGGGAGGCCACAUGGAGGUGCUCUGGUCAGCAGCCCUACUCUACAAGCCACCUUUUUAUCCCAGGUAUGAGAGUGAAGCAGCCUCCAGGUAUGAGGAUUCCAGCCCCCAGCCGCUGAGUCACUCUCAGCUUUUAAGCCUUUCCAUCUGAGAACUCAGAUGUCCCAGAGCAGAAUGAACACAUCCUUUUUGUGCCCUAUCCAAAUUCCUGACCCACAGAAUCUAUGAGCUUAUUAAAAUGGUGGUUGUUUUAAGCUGCUA